CCUACGGGAGGCAGCAGUGGGGAAUAUUGCACAAUGGGGGAAACCCUGAUGCAGCGACGCCGCGUGAGUGAAGAAGUAAUUCGUUAUGUAAAGCUCUAUCAGCAGGGAAGAAAAUGACGGUACCUGAGUAAGAAGCCCCGGCUAACUACGUGCCAGCAGCCGCGGUAAUACGUAGGGGGCAAGCGUUAUCCGGAUUUACUGGGUGUAAAGGGAGCGUAGACGGCAGUGCAAGUCUGGAGUGAAAGGCGGGGGCUCAACCCCCGGACUGCUCUGGAAACUGUACGGCUGGAGUGCAGGAGAGGUAAGUGGAAUUCCCAGUGGAGCGGUGAAAUGCGGAGAUAUUAGGAGGAACACCAGGGGCGAAGGCGGCUUACUGGACUGUAACUGACGUUGAGGCUCGAAAGCGUGGGGAGCAAACAGGAUUAGAUACCCCAGUAGUC
rnacentral:rRNA from 1 species